CAAAAAGCUGGAAUUCGCAGCAUCCACCCCAAAAAUCUAUUGGCCUAAGCAAAUUCUUCCAAACCCCGCGGAGCUGAGAAAAGGGCUGGAUAUGGCAGUGGGCUGCGGCAGGCUGCCAACCAUGGAGGUUGGAGGAAAAUACUCCCCUUCACUACAGCUCUAAGGGGGUGGGAUAAACACGUGGCUAUCUCUAGUUCUACAUGUCAGAUUUCUACCUCUCUCCCUAACAUCUAUUUAUCUCUGGUUUUCCUCCCCACAUGUCUAGGGCAUGCUUUUUACAUUCAGUCAAACUAGUGAAGACACAUGAUUACCCAUUUUCAGCUACCCAAAAUAAUCUCUCUCUCUCCCUCUCUCUGUCUCUCUCUGUGAAACAAAUUGCUCUUUGCUGGUAAGGAAAGUAUUAAAAGUGCCAUAGCAGCAGCAGCUCCUUCUUGAGGAUACGCUGGGGUGCUACAAAAGAUCUCUAAAAUUUGGCAGCAUCUCCAUGAAGGCGGCUCAGAUGGCUGAUGUUAGCAAGCAGUGGGGAAUGAAAGGUCUGAUUGGAACCUGAGGGUGCCAGCCCUUGAGAAACUGAUUUGUAGAGAGUCAAAGCCCAUUUUGGUGGUGCUGCUGCUUUGUUGGGUCAACGUUAUGCUCCAGAAUUCCAUAUUUUAGGGCAGCAGCACAACGAAGCCUUGGGCAGCAUCUGCUGCACCUUUCCCAGUACAUGGGACUGUGAUUGGUGUUACCAGUCACAGCUAGAAGAUCUGCCUUCUGAUUCCCCAGUGGGAGACAAGCCAUACCAACUUGCAGAGCAAGCCAAAUAAUUGUUGAUUAGACACUUCUUUUAGCAUGGUGUGUUCUGCCCUUUUAGCUGUCCUGGCAAUAUAGGCCAAAUCAGUGACUAGAUUAAAAGGUUGUUGGAAUUUUUUAAAUGCUCUGACAUCAGCAGCUAACUCAGGAAUUUGGGGGGUUCCUUCAACAACUUGAACAUCCUACUCCCACUUCUGUGUGUUUGGAUCCUUCCAAGUGAUAACCAAUUUGUGUGAUUUUCCAGAGCCAUCUGUAAAAACUGUGAGGGCUUUAAGAGGAACCUUACCUUUUAGAGAAUUUGGGACUAGAUGGAAUGUUUCUUUUAGUAGCUUGUGUUUUGGAUAAUGAAUAGAGACUUGUCCAGGAUAGCUGUCUAAAGCAAACUAAAGGUAUCCAUUUGUCUGUAAUAGGGAUUCUAAUUUGUGUAGUUGAAAUGCUAGAUAAAUGUAUGUUGGAUCAUACGCUGCAGGGGUUCGGAGGCGGUUCCUGCCUUUAAUGAUUAACUGAGCUAAAAGCUCUGGAGGGAUUGUAAUAGUUUUUUUGGUGUGACAAAUAUACCCAUUCUAUAAUUAACAAUUCAUCUGUAGAAGACGGGUCCCACUGAAAAAGUAGUGCCUGGAAAUGUGGGGAUUUACCAAGAAUAGAAAACUGGGAGGUUAGAGAGCAGUCAACGCGGUGUGCUUUUCGAGAUGAGAUAGCAGGUGCUACCUUUCGCAGCGCAUCAUGGGCAUCUGGGGUUAAGAUGCACUGGGAAGUCAGGUCAUGGCUCCCCUUCAGUAGGCUGAACAAGGGGCACAGCUCUUCUCUCGUGAGUCCAAGCAGUGGUCGGAUCCAGGUGAUGGAGCCACACAACUGUUGCAUGUCCCUUAGCAUUUGAGCCUUAUCUUUGAUGGAGACACUUUAGGGAAUAAUGGCUGGCUCACUGAUUAGGAAUCCAAGGUAUUUCCAUGGGGAGGUCUACUGGGUUUUUCAGGAGCCAUAUCAAAACCUGCAUCUUCAACUGCUUUCAUAGUCUUUCUGAUCACUGUGUUAAGGUAAGUCUUGUCUUGGGAGCAAAUUAAAAUGUCGUCCAUGUAAUGUAGAAUUAUAGCUUCAGGGAAGGCUUUCCUGAUUGGAGAUAGAAUCCCAGCCACAAACAUUUGACAUAAAACAGGGGAAGUUUUCAUUCCCUGUGGUAAUAUGAUCUAAUUAUAUCUUUUAAAGGGUUCUUGACAGUUGAUGAUUGGUUUUGAAAAUGCUAAUUUGGGAGUGCGGGAUGGAGAGGGAUGUUGAAUAAGCAGACUUUGAUAUCAAGGAUUGUGAGCUGCCAGUCCCUGGGAAGCAUAGAAGGUGAGGAGAGGCCUGGUUGCAAGGGGCCCAUGUCUUCUAAAACAUCAUUUACUUUCCAAAAGUCUUGUAAUAACCUCCAUCUGUCUUUGCCAGGUUUUUUAUAAAAAGACAGGGGUCAGGGGCUAGUUGAUGGUACGAUGUGUCCUUUUAAUAAUUGUUGUCACACUAGGGCGUGGAGUGCUUCUAAUUUGUCAUUUGGAAAGGCCCAAUGAUCCACCCACACAGGAUCAUACCCACAGGGAGGGAUCAUACCUUUUCCCACAGAUGGACAACAGCCAUAUUGAGUGGUUUAGUUUUGAUUUCUUUUUAAUUCCCAAGGUUUCAUUUUUUUCAACAUUGUAAUACAGCAUCUCUAUUCAAAUCAUUAUACUUACCUUGCUUAAUUAAAUAUUUAUUAAUUUUUUUCCCCCCCAUAAUAUCAGAAUGGGACAAAAGCAUAGUAAGAACAACAAACAAUUACAGAAAUAGAGAAUCUUCCCUGAGAAUCUCUGAGAACCAUGUUAAAACAAUGGGAAGAACAUCAACUUCCUAAAGACUCACAGUUGAAGAUUUUGCAUUGCAUGUUAGAAUGGCCAAAGAAGAAAUUAAAACAAGGUCUUCGCUGGCCGAAGCAUGGGUCUACCAGGAUGUGGAUUUGCAAAGUACUUUACAAUUACGUCCAAAAUAAAUUCAAUGCAGACUUGGAUUGCAGCAUGUGGAGGUCUGGUUUAAAUAUUGGAACAUUGAAAAGGAAGUAGAAACAAAUUCUCUCUGUAACGAUCAAUGAUAAAGACACAACAAGGAAAACCAAUCAACCAAGGUGGGACCCAUUAAAUUUCCUCCCCACUACUGCACCUCCUAACAAACCAGCUGCAAUUGCAGCUGAGUUGUUGGAGGCUUCAACGAGUCAUGUAACUGAGAGGGCUGAAGAAGUUGAAAGUAGCAUUGGGACAUCAGAAGAAACGUAUAAUCUACCAUCCUCCUCCAGGCAAAUUACAAAUUCAGCCAUGUAGGAAGUUCCUUCCAAUCAAGAAGGUCCAGGCUUCUUCACUUGAAGGAGAACCCUGGCGGUACAAAAAUGUUCUUUCUGCUCCAACAGUAAAGAUAAAACAAAGGUGCCACCCCUCAGAGAGGUCCCAAUGGGGGAUGCACAAGGUGGAAUAGGAUAUGGAAAUGCACCCCUCACCUCUUCAGAAGUGAGGCAUUUUAGAAAGGAAAUGGAGGUAUCAUUCAGUGACCCAGUAGGUUUGUCAGAACAAUUUGACCAGUUCUUAGGCCCUAGGAUUUACCCUUGGGGAAAAUGAAAUUCAAUAAUGCAAACCCUUUUCUCUCCACAGGACAGAAAAGUUAUUUAGACUUCAGGGAUCAAUAUAUGGGACAGAGAACAUAAUUUAGGACCAACUGGAGAGAAGAAAUUACCAUUAACAGAUCUAGAAUGGAACCCUAGCUCAGAUGAGGGAAGAAAAUGCAUAGCAGAAUACAGAACCCGAAUUGUAAAGGGAAUAAAAGAGGCAGUCCCCAGAGUUAAUAACUUGAAGAAAGCCUUUGGUGAUGAACAAGAAAAAGAUGAGAGCCCAAUUGACUGUAUAACUCGCUUAAAGAAUAACAUCCAAUUAUAUUCAGAAAUAGAUUUAGAUAGUGAAGGAGGGAAGACAAUGUUCUAGGUCCACUUUGUGUUACAUUCUUGGCCUGACAUAAAACGGAAAUUAGAGAAAUUGGAUGGAUGGCCAGAAAGGAGUUUAGAUGAGUUAUUAGCUGAAGCACAGUAAGUUUAUGCCAGGUGAAAUGAAGAGAAAAUGAAGACUAAAGCUAAGAUGAUGGCUGCUGUCCAAAUUCCUAAACCAAUUAGGCAGGAUGGGGAGAAUAUUCAAUUAAAGAAACCUAUUUGCUUUUAUUGUAAGAAAGAAGAACAUAUGCAAUCCUGCUGUUUUAAGACAUUGAGGGACUUAAGAGAUUCUCCAAGUGGAGAAUCAACCCUCAGAGAACUGAGGGGGUCAGGGGCUCUUCUUCUUGGGGCACAAAAACCAUCUUCAAGAGCCCUUGAUAAAAUCAAGGAUAGGACCCUAGAACAAUUAAUGGAAUUUUUAGUAGACACAGGAGCAGAGAGAUCUUGUGUAAUUGAAAAACCAAAUGGAUGUGCCAUAAGCAAAGACACUUUCAAUAUCUGUGCUGCUAAAGGGGAAUCCUUCCCCAUUCCCAUCAUUAUGAAUGUCACCAUAAAGGGUAAUGGACUAACCAGAAAAGGGAGAUUUGUUUUUCUACCUCCAGCAUGUAACAACUUAAUUGGUCAGGAAUUCCAGAUACCUUUGAAAGCUGGAGUUCCACAAGAAGGAAGGAUGAAGGUCAAAUUGUUUACUUUAUCCACACAAGAUGAACAACUGAUUAAUCCUACAGUGUAGGCCCGACCAGGUCGCUGGGAUAAAAUGAACAUUACACCCAUUGUAAUGAAUCUCCUUCCAGACAUUAAACCAGCAAAAGUACCCCAGCACCCCCUUACAAAGACCAAAAGGUAUGGGCUAAAACCCAUAAUAACUGAACUUUGACAUGAUAAUAUACUAGAGCCAUGUACUUCCCCAUACAACACCCCAUUCUUGCUAUUAAAAAGCCUGACAAUAGUUACAGGCUAGUUCAAGACCUACGUGAAGUAAAUAAAAGAGUGGAAGCUGUGUGCCCGUUAGUACAAAACCCUUACACCUUGUUAAGUUAUCACCUACACACUCUUGGUUCUCAGUAACUGACCUGAAGGAUGCAUUUUGGUCAUGCCCUGUAGAUUCUCCUUCUAGACACCUGUUUGCCUUCACCUGGGAAGAUCCAGACACUGGAAGGAAACAGCAGCUGACCUGGACCUGGCUACCCCAAGGGUACACGGAGUUGCCCACACUCUUCGGUCAGGCCUUGGAGAGCCUGUUCAUUUCCUUUUCUCCACCCUCAGGAAUACAAGUAACACAGUAUGUAGAUGACAUACUACUCUCCAGAGAGCAAGAAUCCACUGUAAAAUUAGGCACCAUUCAAUUACUGAACCAUCUAGGAGAGAAUGGACUAAGAGUAUCUAAAUCCAAACUACAAUUUGUUAAACCGAAGUAAAAUAUUUCGCACAUGUAAUUGGUCAUGGUACCGAAAAUUGAGUACUGAAAGGAUAGAAGGAAUUUUAAAUUUACAACCUCCACAAAAAAAGAGCGAGGUUAGACAAUUAUUAGGCUUAAGGAGGUAUUGUAGAAUAUGGAUUGAUGAAUACACACAAAGUAUCACAAUUUUAUAUGAAAAAUUAACUACAUCAGAACCUAUUAAUUGGACCCAAGAGGAUAAUAAGAACUUAGAAAAUUUAAAGCAAAAGAUGAUUCAGACCCCAGUUCUCUUUGUUCCUUCACUAGAAGAAGAUUUUCACCUAUAUAUUAAACCUAUAUAGGAAUUACUUAUGGGGUCUUGGCCCAAGAGUGGUCAGGAUUUCAUAAACCUGUAGCCUACUUGUCCAUAUUGUUGGUCCCUCUGUCCCAAGGAUGGCAAACAUGCAUCCAAUCAAUCGCUGCAGCAGCCAUCCUAGUAACAGCCAGCCAAAAACUUACAUUUGAGAGAAAUCUGAUAGAAUACAUACCACACUCCAUCCAAACCAUUCUUAAACAACGAGCGGCCGAAUGGCUAACAGACUCUCAUAUUAUACAAUAUGGGAGCACCCUCAUCCAUUCCACAAAUGUAACCCUGAAAACAAUUACCCACACCAAUCCCGCACAGUUCCUAUGUGGAAUUCCCCAAAAACAAGAUCUCAUGCACAACUGCAUAGUUUUUAUAAACCUGCAAACAAAAAUUCAAGAAGACCUCCUAGAGAGCCCAUUAGCUGAAGGAGAAAUCCUGUUCAUCGACGGAUCAUCAAGAGUAGUAAAUUGAAAGAGGUGCUCUGGAUACUCCAUCAGAGAUGGAAAACAACUGUACAUGUUAGAAAAGGAAAACUACCACCUUCCUGGUCUGCCCAGGUAUGUGAAUUAGAUGCUUUGGAAAAAGCAUUGCACAGACUAGACAGAGCUAUUGGAACCAUUUAUACAGACUCUAAAUAUGGAUAUGGAGUAGUCCACACAUUCGGGAAAAGCUGGGCUGAAAGAGGGUUUCUCAGAUCUAAGGGCAAAGACAUUUUACACAAAGAACUUAUAUUAAAAAUUAGAGGCACUUAAGUUACCGAAAGAAAUUGCAAUGGUACGUGUUCCAGGUCAUCAAAAGGGAACUCUGGAGAAACUAGAGGAAGCAUCCUAGCAGACCAUGCUGCAAAGGAGGCUGCUUUUGAGGGGGAAGUAAAGGUAUACAGAUUUUAUCCAAGAGACACACCCGAGAGUACACUGGACAACACUCUUCCCAUCCCUGUUUUUAAAGACAGUGAAAAACAGAAACUCAUAUCACUAGGUGGAAAGGAAGAUUCUGAGGGACGGUGGCAUCUUCCUGAUGGCCACCAAAUGUUAAAUAAAGAGCUCACUCGAGAAAUUUUACAGAACUUCCACCAAGCCACGCACUGGGGAUCUAAAGCUUUAGCAGGUCACUUUCUUCAAAAUUUUGGAUGUCAGGGAAUUGAUGAAUUAGCUAACCAAAUUACCAUAGGUUGUAUAAUUUUCCAAAAAGUCAAUAGAAAAUUAAUGAGGAGAACAAGACCUGGAGGAAUUGAAAUUGCAAUUAGACCCUUCCAAAGUAUUCAAUUUGAUUUCACAGAAAUGCCCCAUGUCCAAAGAUGGAAGUAUUUCUUAGUGAUUGUAGAUCACCUUACCAAUGGGGUUGAAGCAUUUCCAACUGUUAAUGCCACUGCUCAAACAAUAAGUAAGGUAAUCCUAGAAUAGAUAGUCCCAAGAUAUGGAAUUAUAAAUAACAUUGAUUCAGACCAAGGUACCCAUUUUACAUCAUUAGUAUUGCAACAAUUGGCUCAAUAAUUUGGAAUAACUUGGAAAUUACAUACCGCUGGCACCCUCAAAGUUCGGGAAGGGUAGAACGCAUGAAUCAGACUAUUAGAACAACCUGGACCAAACUGAUGUUAGAAAUGAAGUGGACUUGGAUAAAGUGCCUACCCCUUGCCCUUCUCAGAAUCCAGAGCUAACCCAGAGCUGACUAAGGCUGUUCCCCAUGUGAAAUGUUAUACGGGCUUCCCUAUUUAGCCACCCCGCAUCAAGUAACUGCCAAAGAGUGAGGAAAUAGAAAUAUGCAAAGGUAUAUUCAAAUGAUUGCCCAGAAUCUAAAAGACUUAAAGCAGAGAGGUCGUGUACCCCAGAACAUUCCUUUAGACUUCUAUUUACAUAAGAUAUGCCCCGGAGAGUAGGUACUUCUUAAAUGCUGGAAGGAACAAUCCCUGACUCCAUCAGGGGAAGGUCCUUUCCAAGUUCAACUGACCACAGAGACAGCCAUCCGAGCACAGGAAAAAGGGUGCACUUCCAUCAGCUGAGUAAAAGGUCCAGUAACACCACCACAAGAUAACGAGAAACCUCCAUGAACUACUCUCUACAACAGUCCUCCCCAAUGUUAUCCCUGAAAUUAUUAUAUCAAUUGUAAUUCUCUCACUGUUUUACAGCAGAGAAUCUAAUGGUUAUUGUACUUACUAUUUAACAAGUUAUUACGAAUUUUCAAUUCCAUUUCUCCACCAGUGAAGAGUAUCAUUUCCCUGAGAAAGUACUUUCCUCUCCAAUAACUAUAUCUUUUUUUUUUUUUUUUUUUUUUUUUUUAAUUUCCUUGGGAGAAACAACAUGAAUAGAACCAAGGCCAGUUCCAGGUAGGACUUUCCUGCAUCCAGGUACACUCCCAUGACAACCAAGGGGUCUGAACCCAGUCGAAAAACCAGAGAGCUUGAAAGGUCUGCACCACCUAUCAGAGAGUACCACGGCACUUCAAUCUUCCCAUUGACCCCUAGGGAAUGGAAGGUUGAACUGGUAACUUGAUGCCACAGCAAUGGUGCAUACUAAUGAGAGAGCUUCCCAUCAAAAACCUCAGAGAUAUCAUCCCACCCCAGUGACAGCACACUCUGGGAAAGAAGAUCUUACCUCAUCAUCUACUAGCACCAAUCACCAGAGACUAUGGGGGCAGGACUGCAAGUACAGACUGAGGGGAUCGAGAACAUCAAAGGGGCAGCCUGGCCUGAAGAGCUGUCUUUGCUGUCUUUUACUGUUCCUGGGACUGUGACUUAGCUACAGCAGGGGACCCCACACUGCAGAUUUUGGUCAAUAUCUCUUUUUAGAGACCUUUUUCCAGAUUUGAGGGCAGACUAAGUGCAUUCACUGCAAUGCCCUUGGGUUCUUGCCUUGGGGCCAAACACCAGUUCAGCUAGAGAUUUCCUCAAUUCUUGGGCUUGGGACUUUAUCCUUUUUUCUUUCUUUCCUUUCUUCUUUUUCCUUACCUCCCUUUUUGUUUUUCCCCUUUAAAUAAACACCCUAUUUUUGUUCAAA